AACGCUACAUAAACAGAUUAACGAAAUCUAAAGCCUCCAAGGACAGGUGACAGUUAUAUCCGGAAUGUACGAACAUCUUCAGGGUCAGCUCCCGACAUAACCAGCAGCUCCGCUCCAAAAGUCUGCAUGCAAUGUGCAGAAGUGUAGUAUGAGUAUAACCGACCCCAUAUACCCAGUAAGUAUUUUGUCUAACCUCGUCGAAGUAGUGACGAGGCUUUUUAGUAAAAAGAUGCUCACUAAUAAAAAUCUGUACUGAAAUCUAGCAAUAGAACUAUGCUACAAUAUAACAGGAUAGAGUACACGAAACAAAUGUACAAAACAAUAAUAAAGUACUAGAAGAGAUCACAAUUCAGUAGUUUCCAAUAUCUCAACCAAUCUUUUCCUUAGAGGGAAACCAAUAAACCACAAGAGUCACCCCAUAACUUUCAUAACGUGAGGAAUAUACUCUGAUAUCAAGUCAAUUGCACGGCAACACACUUCGUGCAUUUAUCUCAUCCUCACUAAAUAUGCAUACAACAGUACCAACCGGAUGGCAGAAAUGCCGAUAACAGUAAUGACAAAGUAGGAAAUACCCAAGUAGCAAUAAUGAACGAGAAUGUACAAAUGGGCAUCAGUAACAGACUAGGCGGAAAGCAUAGAGGUGAUGACAACAAUCAGGAAAAGGAAUGUAACUUCAACUAACUAGCAUGGUGGAGGCAUAAAUACAAUAUAACGAAUAAGAGGGGAACACAUGAUCUUUAUGCGUUAACAAGUAGAAGCAUGAAUGACUAACACGGUAGAAGGCAUGUACUAAGUGCAACCAAAAUACAUACUACAAAGAUAUAAUUAUGACAGCAGGAAGUAGGCAUGGUAUUUGCAAGUUUAGCAAGUAGAAGGCAUGAGUGACACAAUAACAAAUAAGAUAAAGAACAAGAACAGGGCAUUAACGAAAAGUCACAUAAGAACCAUAAAUACAAUAAUAACAGCUCAACGUAACGGCAGGAACGUAUACACAAAGGAAAGAUAUCAUAACAUAAUGCAUGUCCCUCGUCCUCACCUGCAUGAAAACACCCAUCAUGAACUCAUGAUAAUUUAAAGCAUGAUAAUAUAAAUGAAAUGGCACGACAUCACCCUUCGUGUUUUACACUCACAUAACAUGGCACGGCAUCACCCUUUGUGCUUUUACUCACAAAUGAAAUGGCACGGCAUCACCCUUCGUGCUUUUACUCUCAAUAAUAUGGCACGGCAUCACCCUUCAUGCUUUUACUCUCAAUAAUAUGGCACGGCAUCACCCUUCGUGUUUUACACUCUCCCUCACAUGAUAAUGUAUAAACAAAGGCACGACAUCACCCUUCGUGUUUUACACUCUUCCUUACCAAGCAUAUGUAUAUCAAUGACAAACAAGGCAGGAAGCAUAAAUAACGUCAAUGAGAGUGUUUAAACAAAUAUUCCAAAUGAAUCCCAAUCACAACUUUCCAAGCCAACAAUAGUUCAAUAAACCCGCAAGAACAUUAUUAUUCAAGUAUUCCAACAAAUCCCACAAAUGAUCUACAACACAAGUAUAGAAUCUAGUCUCUCAAAAAUAUCGGCCAUAGCAAUGUAUUAAUGAUUAUGCAUAUUGAUGACCGAAUUAAACACACCAAUGUAUUCUCAGAAUUCCAUCAAAUUUGAUCAAGUUGUAAUAAGCUAAGUCUUAGUUUCUAACAUUUAAUACUAUGUUCUUAGUAUCUAGGAGUCAACUAAGGCAUGAGGCAAGAAGGUCACGUGAUUCUAUAAGACACAAUUUAUAACAUAAUUUACCCCCCCAGCAUGGUUAACCCUGUCACAUGCAUAUAUUCUCGUCACCUCAUAUAUGUAUCACCCCCGCAUGUAGCAAACAAUGUCAAAUAGUAGGAAAAAUUCCCUCAACAAAGUUAGGCAAGACACUUACCUCAAUUUGGCUAACUCAACACUCAAUUUAGCUUUUAUUUUUACAAAUUCACCUCCGCCCGGCUCAAUCUAGCCAAAGACGACUUAAAUACACCACACAAUGCAAGGGAAAACAAUUUCAAUUAAUAAAGUUGUAAUUUUUAUAUAAUUUCUAAAAAGUCAACAAAAAUUAACCAUCGGGCCCGCCCGAUCAAAACCCGGGUUCAAGGGUAGGUCUUGACUACCCAUAGCCUCACGAGUCCAAAUACGUAUUUUGUUUCCAAAUCCGAGUCCUAUUCGACUCUCGAAUCCUAAAUUUUCAUUUUUUAAAGUUUUGACAAAAUCCCCAAAUUUUUCCCUAGAUUCUCGUGAAUUUGAUGUUAAAUCUUAUGUAAAAUCAUGAAAUGUAGUUGAGAAUUGAUUAGAGGUACUUACCCAAUGAUUUGGUAUGAAAAUCCCUUCACAAAAUCGCCUCCCAUCGAAGCUAGGGUUCAAAAUAUAACAAAAUGAAACUAAGUCUCGGAAUUCUCAGCAUUUAGCAAGCUGCAGAUGUCGCAUUUGCGACAAAUGGUUCGCAAAUGCAGACAAAACAUCGCAAAUGCGACCCCUGACAGACCAGGCCUUCAUCGCAAAUGCGAUGCAGAGUUCGCAAAUGCAAAACUCUUCAGACUUCGCAAAAGCGAUAACUUCAUCGCAAAUGCGAUCCAGUCCCCAGCAGCCUAGGUUCGCAAAUGCGAACAACACUACCUCGCAAAUGCGGUAGUCGCAUUUGCGAUGUUUCCAAAACAUCGCAAAUGCGAUGAAACCAGAACAACACUCAAGGUUCUUACCAAAACACUCCGAAGCUAAUCUGAAACUCACCCGAGCCCCCGAGGCUCCAAACCAAACACCCACACAAGUCUAAAAAUAUAACACGAACUCACUCGAGUGAUCAAAACAUCAAAAUAACCUCUAGAAUCAUGAAUCGAACGCCAAAACGCAUGAAGAUCAAAGUAAACUUCAAGAACCUCUAGAAUCGUAACCGAGCGUCCGAACUAUAUCAAAUCAGCUCCAAAUGGCGCCAAUUUUGCAGACAAGUUCUAUAUGACGAAACGAACCUACUUGAGGCUUCAAAUCACGCAUAACAACCUCGAAACGACGAGUCGCACCUCAAGUAAAAAUCAAUGAACUUUGAAACUUCAACUUUUACAACCGAUGCCGAAACCUAUCAAAACACGUCUAAUUAACCUCGAAUUUUGCACACACGUCACAUUUGACAUUACGGACCUACUCCAACUUCCGGAAUCGAAAUCCGACCCCGAUAUAAAAAGUCCACUCCCGGCCAAACUUCCCAAAAAAAUCCAACUUCCGUCAUUUCAAGACUAAUUCGACUACAGACCUCUAAAUUAUAAUCUGGACGCGCUCCUAAGUCCAAAAUCAUCCAACGGAGCUAACGGAACUAACGAAACUCCAUUCCGAGAUCCAAUGCUAAAAGGUCAAACUUGGUCAACUCUUCCAACUUAGAGCUUAAAUCUUGAAGUUCAUUCUUCCAAAUCGAUUCCGGAUAACUUGGAAACCAACACCGACGAUUUACGCAAAUCAUAAUACAUCAUGCGGAGAAACUCGAGCCCUCAAACUACCGAGAAAAAGUACAAAUGCUCAAAACGACCAGUCGGGUCGUUACAAAACUUUAAGACUCCACCAAAAGGAACAAAGUGAUCAAAAAAUUUAUCAUUUGUUCAUAUGGUUCAAGAAUUUCAAUUACAACCAGAUUGUAAUAUAAGAAUUACAUUAUAUGUUUUUAAAGAAGUGCUAAAAUUAACUGAUGAAAAGUUGGGAUCGAAUGCUAACGAGGUUCUUUUUCUUUUCAACGUAUUCUUUAGUAGUAUCCCAAAUAUCAUCCUAGUAAAUCAAAUUACAGUUCCUCCUUCUCUCAAAUGAUUAUUAUUUCUCUACUCAAGUUAAUACUAAAUCAUACGUUCAAGAAUCAAAACUUUAUUGCAAUAUAGCCAAUUACCCAACCUUUUCAACCCGUCAUAUAUGUCCUUGUGACCACAUAAGAAACUAUCUACGGAACACAAGCCACAAAACAAAGGACCACACUUGUUACCAAUUAAAAACAAAAAACAAAAGCCACAAACAAAAACAAAAUUAGAUUGAUCUAAGAAGAAAAAUCAAGAAGUUACUUUUUAAAGUAUCUACAGUUCGGAAGAGAACAACAAAUAUAAUAUGUAAUUAACAGAAAAGAAAAUAAAUUAGAAUCACAUUUAAUUGAGUUCCAAAUUUAAAGGGGAAAAAACGAAAAAUAUAUAAACUGAAACAUCAUAAUAAUUCGUAAAAAUGAAUGAUCCACUUUUACCUUGAAUUUGGCUCCAAAUGCCUGAUAAUCGAAUUUCUUCUAGGUAAAAUAUGUGUAAACAAGAGUCCCAAGACCCUAAGAAGGAUCAACGAAUUCUCUUCUUUACAGAGAAAGAAAUCACAUCCGUCAUAAAAAUCUUCCAAACACAACGGCACACAGAAUAGUCCCCAACUUCUUCCAAAAUUUCAUGGUAUGGUCACAACUUUCAACUCUAAGUCCUUUAACAGCCACGGGUGAGAGCUGAACGGCGAUUAGAUCUAACAGUAGUGAAGGUUUGGGAAGAGCAGAAGAAGGGAUUUAAGAAACAUUUUUGCAUCGGCUAGGGUUUUGGGAGAAAGGGGAAGGGAUUUGGGGAAACAAGGGAAAUAAAGGAAACACUGGCAGCAUAUUCUCUUUCUUAAGUUUAAGCGAUAUAAUCCAAAAACAUAAAAAAGAUUAGUAAUAUAACUAGUAGCGACUUUGUCGCUACAAAUACAAUUUUGUGGCAAGUAUUUAAAGGUCGCUACAAAUUAUUCUACAG
rnacentral:lncRNA from 1 species